rnacentral:rRNA from 1 species
AUUGAACGCUGGCGGCAGGCUUAACACAUGCAAGUCGAGCGGAGAGAGGUAGCUUGCUACGGAUCUUAGCGGCGGACGGGUGAGUAAUGCUUAGGAAUCUGCCUAUUAGUGGGGGACAACAUUUCGAAAGGAAUGCUAAUACCGCAUACGUCCUACGGGAGAAAGCAGGGGAUCUUCGGACCUUGCGCUAAGAGAUGAGCCUAAGUCGGAUUAGCUAGGUGGUGGGGUAAAGGCCUACCAAGGCGACGAUCUGUAGCGGGUCUGAGAGGAUGGUCCGCCACACUGGGACUGAGACACGGCCCAGACUCCUACGGGAGGCAGCAGUGGGGAAUAUUGGACAAUGGGCGGAAGCCUGAUCCAGCCAUGCCGCGUGUGUGAAGAAGGCCUUAUGGUUGUAAAGCACUUUAAGCGAGGAGGAGGCUACUUUAGUUAAUACCUAGAGAUAGUGGACGUUACUCGCAGAAUAAGCACCGGCUAACUCUGUGCCAGCCGCCGCCGUAAUAC